rnacentral:rRNA from 1 species
GAUGAACGCUGGCGGCGUGCCUAAUACAUGCAAGUCGAGCGAACGGACGAGAAGCUUGCUUCUCUGAUGUUAGCGGCGGACGGGUGAGUAACACGUGGAUAACCUACCUAUAAGACUGGGAUAACUUCGGGAAACCGGAGCUAAUACCGGAUAAUAUUUUGAACCGCAUGGUUCAAAAGUGAAACACGGUCUGCCGGUCACUUUUGGAGGGUUCCACGCUGCAUUAGCUAGUUGGUAGGGUAAAGCCUUACCAAGGCAACGAUGCAAAGCAGGCCUGAGAGGGUGAUCGGCCACACUGGAACUGAGACACGGUCCAGACUCCUACGGGAGGCAGCAGUAGGGAAUCUUCCGCAAUGGGCGAAAGCCUGACGGAGCAACGCCGCGUGAGUGAUGAAGGUCUUCGGAUCGUAAAACUCUGUUAUUAGGGAAGAACAUAUGUGUAAGUAACUGUGCACAUCUUGACGGUACCUAAUCAGAAAGCCACGGCUAACUACGUG